rnacentral:rRNA from 1 species
ACUUAGUGGCGGACGGGUGAGUAACGCGUGGGUAACCUGCCCUUUUGUGGGGAACAACUUCGAGAAAUCGGAGCUAAUACCGCAUAAUAAUAGAGGAUCGCAUGAUUCUUUAAGGAAAGAUGGCCUCUGAAGAUGCUAUCGCAAAAGGAUGGACCCGCGUCUGAUUAGCUAGUUGGAAGGGUAACGGCCUACCAAGGCAACGAUCAGUAGCCGGCCUGAGAGGGUGAACGGCCACAUUGGGACUGAGACACGGCCCAAACUCCUACGGGAGGCAGCAGUGGGGAAUCUUCCGCAAUGGGCGAAAGCCUGACGGAGCAAUGCCGCGUGAGUGAAGAAGGCCUUCGGGUUGUAAAACUCUGUCCUUAUCGAAGAGAGGUAGGUAUGUGAAUAAUGUACCUAUAGGACGGUAGAUAAGGAGGAAGCCCCGGCUAACUACGUGCCAGCAGCCGCGGUAAUACGUAGGGGGCGAGCGUUGUCCGGAAUCACUGGGCGUAAAGGGCGCGUAGGCGGCCUAGUAAGUCAGAUGUGAAAAGUGAGGGCUCAACCCUUAGACUGCAUUUGAAACUGCUAGGCUUGAGUACAGAAGAGGAAAGCGGAAUUCCUAGUGUAGCGGUGAAAUGCGUAGAUAUUAGGAGGAACACCAGUGGCGAAGGCGAUUCUCUGGGCCAAGACUGACGCUGAGGCGCGAAAGCGUGGGGAGCAAACAGGAUUAGAUACCCUGGUAGUCCACGCCGUAAACGAUGGAUACUAGGUGUUAGUAGUUUCGAUGCUACUAGUGCCGGAGUAAACACAAUAAGUAUCCCGCCUGGGGAGUACGGUCGCAAGACUGAAACUCAAAGGAAU